CAAUCAAAAUGGCCGGAGAUCAAGGAGUACGAUUCACCAAUCGUCAAUCUUUUCUUCUUAACCUCUAAACGUCACAAUCCAAAAUCGUUUCCGAUCUGUUCCGUUGUGUUGCACCACCACAGUUACUCGCCAUCGUGGAACUACCUAGACCGCACGUCGCCGUUUUCAACCGUCCCACACACACCAACGCCACCGCUUUGAACCCGCCGUACGGUCCGCUGUAACUACACACGCCUUCCAGCACCAUGGCGCCCGUUGCUUCGAUCUAAGAGGUUUGCAUACUUUUUGUGGAUGACUUGAUUUGUGGCUUUACUUGCUAAACUAAGGUAAUAUGGGAUGAUCUGGGGUUUCAGUCAGGAGCGUUAGGAAGUUGCUGGCAACGACUAUUUAUUUCAGUAAUGUAAUAAAUGUGAUUAGGAUCUUUUAUUUAAUGUUAUGGAUCGGUUUUUAGUUUUGAUAUCUGUAAGAGUGACACGUCAGCCCUAGCGGGGUUGGGGUGUUACAGAAUAUCACUCAAUAACCAUAAUUCCCUUAUCUCCGGUUACAAUAGCAAACCACCAAUGCUUGUCAGAUCAGAUUUUAAUAUCAGGCAACGUCAGAUGGUGCA